UGAAGGUUGCGCAGCUUUGACAGAAAACGACCCCACCCACCCCGAUUCCAUCGUCUCCGACGACCCCUGCGCGUAGAAACGACCCCUAGGAUCAUCUUCUUCAAGCAGUCAUUUCCAUGGUUGAUUCCUAACCAUGAAACGACCCCUAGGAUCAUCUUCUUCAAGAAGCCAUUUCCAUGGUUGAUUCCUAACCAAGCCAACGAUCUCUUUCUCCUUCAGCACAACCAGCAACAACUCCCCAAAAUCCAGCUCGAAAACCACCCCUUUCUCAUCCCAAAACAGUUCUAGAAACUCAGCAAAUCAUCCCCGAAAAUCAUCCAUAAACCAGCUAAAAUGCAACAACAACAUCUGCGAGAAACCAGCUGAAAGUUCAAUGAAACGCGAGCUGAAAACCUAGUCCGAAAAUCUCAGAAAAGAUGUCCCAGAAUCAGCACCAAAGAUCCAAAAAAACACCGUAAAAACCAGCACCAAACCACUCCGAAAUAGCAGCUCUUUCUACCCCGAAGUUCGAGUUCUUUUUCCGGCAUGUUCGAAGUCAUUCGAGGCUCUCGCUCACAGCUCCGAUCCGUCGAUCUUGACAUUGAAGUUUGGUUUCAAGUGUCUGUUGUUUGUUUGACUUGGGGAAAUGCCGAUGUAAUAUUUAAAGCAAAAAUUCGACAAUAUAAAAGGUCCAUUCUCUCACUCAUCUCUUUUAUUAGUUGUGUUUGAUUAAUUAUGAUUUUAAGAUUGAUUUUAGCUCUUUCUGUUAUGUUACUUUUAUGAUUUGUUUAGGUACAUGAUACAACACAGUGUGUAUAUAUGCCUACGUGAUCAUGAUUUUGUUCGAGUGAUCAUGAUUUUUUUAUUUAAAAAGUUCUCACUAUUAGAUCCCAAGUUGCUAAGUAGGAAUUGGAAUUGGUUGCUUGUUUGGAAAUUUAUUCCCACCGUUGAAUCUGUGAAAGCACUUGACAUAUGAUUCAACACUUGGUUCAUUUAAUUAAUAUUGGUAAGCUACCUCAGUAACAUAAAAGAGCUUUUGCUUUUGAAUUUGGAUGCUUGGCAUAUUUCUAUGGUAAAAAUG
rnacentral:lncRNA from 1 species